CUGAGGCUUCACUUGUCCUGCAGCCCCACCGGGGCCAGAGGAGGAAGAGGAGCUGCGGGAGCAGCGUGUCAAGUGCUUCAACAACUGCGCGGCCGCGGAGCUGAAGCUGGAGAGGGCGGACGAGGCGCUGGCGUCCUGCGAGGCGGUCCUCCGCAUCAGCCCGGACAACGGCCGGGCGCUGCUCCGUCGGGGGCAGCUGCUGGCGCAGCAGGGCCGGGACGAGGAGGCAGCUGUAGAUCUGAGGCGAGCCCUGGAGCUAGACCCAGCGAACAAGGUGAUCCACGCCGAGCUUUCACGGCUGCUGAACCGACGGAGCCCCCCAGACCACGCCGCCCCUUCGGAGCCCCACUAUGGCUCAACGCCGCCACCUCC